rnacentral:rRNA from 1 species
AUUGAGCGCUGGCGGCAUGCCUUACACAUGCAAGUCGAACGGUAACAGGUCUUCGGAUGCUGACGAGUGGCGAACGGGUGAGUAAUACAUCGGAACGUGCCCGAGAGUGGGGGAUAACGAGGCGAAAGCUUUGCUAAUACCGCAUACGAUCUCAGGAUGAAAGCAGGGGACCGCAAGGCCUUGCGCUCACGGAGCGGCCGAUGGCAGAUUAGGUAGUUGGUGGGAUAAAAGCUUACCAAGCCGACGAUCUGUAGCUGGUCUGAGAGGACGACCAGCCACACUGGGACUGAGACGCGGCCCAGCCUCCUGCGGGAGGCAGCAGUGGGGAGUUUUGGACAAUGGGCGCAAGCCUGAUCCAGCCAUGCCGCGUGCAGGAUGAAGGCCUUCGGGUUGUAAACUGCUUUUGUACGGAACGAAAAGACUCUGGUUAAUACCUGGGGUCCAUGACGGUACCGUAAGAAUAAGCACCGGCUAACUACGUGCCAGCCGCCGCAGUAAUAC